GCGGGUGUAGCUCAAUGGUAGAGCUUCUGGUUUCCACCCAGAGGACACCGGAUCAUUACCGGUCACCCGCU
rnacentral:tRNA from 1 species